UUGACGGGGCCCGGCACAAGCGGUGGAGUAUGUGGUUUAAUUCGAUGCAACGCGAAGAACCUUACCUGGUCUUGACAUCCCGGAGACCCUUAGGAAACUAGGGGGUGCUUCCAUCUGGAAGAAUCUGGAGACAGGUGCUGCAUGGCUGUCGUCAGCUCGUGUCGUGAGAUGUUGGGUUAAGUCCCGCAACGAGUGCAACCCUUGCCUUUAGUUGCCAGCAGUUCGGCUGGGCACUCUAAAGGGACUGCCGGUGUUAAACCGGAGGAAGGUGGGGAUGACGUCAAGUCCUCAUGGCCUUUAUGACCAGGGCUACACACGUACUACAAUGGCCGAUACAAAGGGCAGCGACACUGCGAGGUGAAGCCAAUCCCGUAAAAUCGGUCUCAGUCCGGAUUGGAGUCUGCAACUCGACUCCAUGAAGUUGGAAUCGCUAGUAAUCGUGGAUCAGCAUGCCACGGUGAAUACGUUCCCGGGCCUU
rnacentral:rRNA from 1 species